rnacentral:lncRNA from 1 species
GCCGAGGUCCUCUUCCAGGAUUGGCUACCUCCUCAUAACCAUAAGAUAAUUAAAACUUGGCGGGGGGGGGGGGCAGGGUUAAAAAAACUUUUUUUAUCAGUCAGAGGAUAAUGCAAGUGUUUAACAGAUGCUUCACUAUUAAAAUAUUUUCCCCCCAAGUCUCAAAUAUUGAAGAAUCUCUAACCAGGGACACCAGUCCCUACGAAGACCUUGGGCGAUUUUGAAGUGCGGGCACCUCGAUUCCCCGAAUCUGUAGUGUGGCUGGUAUCGGUGUUCCCCUGGUUUAACUAGCCUGUUUGAAGGCACAGAUCAUUCAUGGGGAUGUAUAACCGAAACCAGUCCUCUCCACCGCCUGGGGAUCUUCACUUUCGCAGUCUACGACUGCCUGUGACUCCAGAAAGACAAACUGCAGAUUGGCCAAGAUGGAUUAAGCUGGAAUAAUAAAGUAUAUCUAUGAGAUGAUUUCUGUAAACUCUGACUUGCUGAGAAAAAAGUGAAAAAGCUUUUUCUGGAAGAAACAUGGCAACUUAACCGUUAUUAAUCUGGACUAAAUAAAACAGGAAACUGCUUCUUUACAUUUCUAGUAAUUUUUUCUGCUUUUCCAAACAUUGUUAAGUUCUAUGCAACUUGUGCUAUUCAAGUAAAGAUGAUGUCAGUAAUAAAAUUACAGAAUCUAAUCAA